GCUGCAACCUACGGGGUGUACUUGGGAACGAGGGGUGAAGCGGCCCAGGUGAGGCUCGCCAUGGCCAAACAGCUGCAGGCCCGAAGGCUAGACGGGAUCGACUACAACCCCUGGGUGGAGUUUGUGAAACUGGCCAGUGAGCAUGACGUCGUGAACUUGGGCCAGGGCUUCCCGGAUUUCCCACCACCAGACUUUGCCGUGGAAGCCUUUCAGCACGCUGUCAGUGGAGACUUCAUGCUUAACCAGUACACCAAGACAUUUGGUUACCCACCACUGACGAAGAUCCUGGCAAGUUUCUUUGGGGAGCUGCUGGGUCAGGAGAUAGACCCGCUCAGGAAUGUGCUGGUGACUGUUGGUGGCUAUGGGGCCCUGUUCACAGCCUUCCAGGCCCUGGUGGACGAAGGAGACGAGGUCAUCAUCAUCGAACCCUUUUUUGACUGCUACGAGCCCAUGACAAUGAUGGCAGGGGGUCGUCCUGUGUUUGUGUCCCUGAAGCCGGGUCCCAUCCAGAAUGGAGAACUGGGUUCCAGCAGCAACUGGCAGCUGGACCCCAUGGAGCUGGCCGGCAAAUUCACAUCACGCACCAAAGCCCUGGUCCUCAACACCCCCAACAACCCCCUGGGCAAGGUGUUCUCCAGGGAAGAGCUGGAGCUGGUGGCCAGCCUUUGCCAGCAGCAUGACGUGGUGUGUAUCACUGAUGAAGUCUACCAGUGGAUGGUCUACGACGGGCACCAGCACAUCAGCAUUGCCAGCCUCCCUGGCAUGUGGGAACGGACCCUGACCAUCGGCAGCGCCGGCAAGACCUUCAGCGCCACUGGCUGGAAGGUGGGCUGGGUCCUGGGUCCAGAUCACAUCAUGAAGCACCUGCGGACCGUGCACCAGAACUCCGUCUUCCACUGCCCCACGCAGAGCCAGGCUGCAGUAGCCGAGAGCUUUGAACGGGAGCAGCUGCUCUUCCGCCAACCCAGCAGCUACUUUGUGCAGUUCCCGCAGGCCAUGCAGCGCUGCCGUGACCACAUGAUACGUAGCCUACAGUCAGUGGGCCUGAAGCCCAUCAUCCCUCAGGGCAGCUACUUCCUCAUCACAGACAUCUCAGACUUCAAGAGGAAGAUGCCUGACUUGCCUGGAGCUGUGGAUGAGCCCUAUGACAGACGCUUCGUCAAGUGGAUGAUCAAGAACAAGAGAUGCUGUGUGGGCUGGCAGGAUUUCCUGCCUCUUUGGAUCUCCAUCUUCCCAUCUGUACAGUGAGGAGUUGGCCCAUUAACUCUUGAGUUCAUCCAGGUUUGAUCUGUGACUCUAAGGCUUUGUUCUUCUCUGGCUCUGCCCUGACCUGCUCCAUGAUCCUCCCUCUGUCAGCCUCCCUCUGCCCUCUAUACCCAGGGAGGGACUUGGAAUGAUGUUCUGGGAUUCUUUUCUUCUGACUUUGUGUUUGUUUUUGUUUUGGAUGGAUUUUCUCUCUUUCGCCCAGGCUGCGGUGAAGUGGCGCAAUCUGGCUCACUGCAACCUCCACCCCCGGGUUCAAGCAAUUCUCCUGCCUCAGCCUCCCAAGUAGCUGGGAUUACAGGCAUGCGCCACCACACCCGGCCAAUUUUUGUAUUUUUGGUAGAGACGGGGUUUAGCCAUGUUGGCCAGGCUGGUCUUGAACUCCUGACCUCAGGUGAUCCACCCGUCUCAGCCUCCCAAAGUGCUGGGAUUAUAGGCGUGAGCCACCGCACCUGGCCUUGUUCCUCUGACUUUGAUGCAGCUCUAGGUGCUGGAUUGGAGCUAACUCUCCUUCCCCGCCUGGUCGUGGGAACCUCUCUGUCCCCUCCGGAGCCAAGGCCUGCUGGGCCACGAGGCCGUGUUGAGACAUGUCCUUCCUCCUCCCCAGGGCUUGGUGGCCAUCCCUGUCUCCAUCUUCUAUAGUGUGCCACAUCAGAAGCACUUUGACCACUAUAUCCGCUUCUGUUUUGUGAAGGAUGAAGCCACGCUCCAGGCCAUGGACGAGAAGCUGCGGAAGUGGAAGGUGGAACUCUAGCCCUGAAGUCACGCCUUGGCCCUGACAUCCCCACAUGCCCGCAGAGAUCCUCUUUGAGUGUCUGUCUUUGUCCAGGUUUCAGACAUUUCUAGGUUGGGGAAGAUGCUAUUGGGAAACCUCUUCUCCGUGACACAGAAUGUUCUGGGUGGGAGCCGCCCUUCUUCAUCUUAGAGAACCAAGUGCCUCCUGUCUGAAAGGUGAGGGUGGCCUGACCUGGGCCUCUCCCUGCCCCUCCAUAGGUGGGUUUGUAGGGUCUUGUGUUGCUUCUGGUCUCUCCAGGCUUGGCUGAGACGGACGGUAGACUUCCACCAUGUACCGAUCACAUCCCAGCUCUGCAUGGCCCCUGCUAAGGCUCAGGUAUAACCUCACCUUCCCUGGCUCAUCUUGGCCUUGGGGAGUUGCCUUUAGGCUUGAGUCCUCAAGCCUCUCCUUUUCGUCCAUAAUAAAAUGUUUAAGUUAUUAAGAUCCUUAUUGACGGCUUCUCUCUGCUUCACACUCAUGCUGAUGGCUGAUCUAACUUGUGAAGAAUGCCCAGAAGAACCUCAGACACCCCCACAACUUUGUACAAAUGGUUACUGUAGUCACAUAGUGGCACAACCAGGCCUAGCACCCAAGGCCCUCAAAUGAAUUCCUCACUAUUAA